UACGAAGGGGGCUAGCGUUGUUCGGAAUUACUGGGCGUAAAGCGCGUGUAGGCUGCUUGGCAAGUCGGAUGUGAAAGCCCUGGGCUCAACCCAGGAAGUGCAUUCGAAACUGCCGAGCUGGAGUCCUGGAGAGGAAGGCGGAAUUCUCGGUGUAGCGGUGAAAUGCGUAGAUAUCGAGAGGAACACCUGCGGCGAAGGCGGGUUGCUGGGCUGACACUGACGCUGAGGCGCGAAAGCUAGGGGAGCGAACGGG
rnacentral:rRNA from 1 species